GGGGGUAUAGCUCAGCUGGGAGAGCGCUUGCAUGGCAUGCAAGAGGUCGACGGUUCGAUCCCGUCUAGCUCCA
rnacentral:tRNA from 1 species